rnacentral:rRNA from 1 species
CGCGUAGGCGGAUUAGUAAGUUGGGAGUGAAAGCCCGGGGCUUAACCUCGGAACUGCUUUCAAAACUGCUAGUCUUGAGUGAAGUAGGGGGUGAUGGAAUUCCUAGUGUAGAGGUGAAAUUCUUAGAUAUUAGGAGGAACACCGGUGGCGAAGGCGGUCACCUGGACUUCAACUGACGCUGAGGCGCGAAAGCGUGGGGAGCAAACA